rnacentral:rRNA from 1 species
GGGGAAUAUUGGACAAUGGGCGCAAGCCUGAUCCAGCAAUGCCGCGUGUGUGAAGAAGGCCUGUGGGUUGUAAAGCACUUUCAGAGGGGAGGAAGGCAUUAGCUUUAAUAAAGCUGAUGAUUGACGUUACCCUCAGAAGAAGCACCGGCUAACUCUGUGCCAGCAGCCGCGGUAAUACAGAGGGUGCAAGCGUUAAUCGGAAUUACUGGGCGUAAAGGGUGUGUAGGUGGUAAUGUAAGUUAGGUGUGAAAUCCUCGGGCUUAACCUGAGAAUUGCGCUUAAUACUGCAUUUCUAGAGUACUGCAGAGGGCAGUGGAAUUUCCAGUGUAGCGGUGAAAUGCGUAGAUAUUGGAAGGAACACCAGUGGCGAAGGCGACUGCCUGGAUAGAUACUGACACUGAGACACGAAAGCGUGGGUAGCAAAC